rfam:Salmo salar isolate Sally breed double haploid chromosome ssa17, whole genome shotgun sequence.
UGCAUUCACUACUGUAACUCACUCUGGAUAAGAGCGUCUGCUAAAUGACUAAAA